AUUUUAAUCAGUCCCAACAAGAUCGCAUAUGGUUUUGAUCCAGUGAACCAUGUGGAUUUCAAUCGGUGUUAUUAUCUCUUUAUUUUGCUCUUUGACCAAGCCUGCCACCGCACAUUACUGUGAAGAUGUAUCAUCUGAAUGUCUUCGUGAUCGUGGUUCCUGGACUAAAUGUUAUGAGAACAAAAUUCGUGAAUGUUCACAAAAAGGAAGAGGGGACCCAAAUUUUUAUUUAAAGACGUUAGAACCAUCACAAGAGGCUAAUGUGCAAAUGAAGAAUCAUAGAGUUCAAAUUCCAUCGGCAGCUUUGCAGAUGAGCCAAGGGGAUGAGGAAUAUGUGCGGGUGGUGGUAACUGUCCUAAACAGCUCUUACUUUGAGUUAGGACCCACACCAACAAAAGCUGCUGUAAAGCCCAGCUU
ensembl:lncRNA